AGUGAACGCUGGCGGUAGGCCUAACACAUGCAAGUCGAACGGCAGCACAGUAAGAGCUUGCUCUUACGGGUGGCGAGUGGCGGACGGGUGAGGAAUACAUCGGAAUCUACUUUUUCGUGGGGGAUAACGUAGGGAAACUUACGCUAAUACCGCAUACGACCUAUGGGUGAAAGCAGGGGAUCUUCGGACCUUGCGCGAUUGAAUGAGCCGAUGUCGGAUUAGCUAGUUGGCGGGGUAAAGGCCCACCAAGGCGACGAUCCGUAGCUGGUCUGAGAGGAUGAUCAGCCACACUGGAACUGAGACACGGUCCAGACUCCUACGGGAGGCAGCAGUGGGGAAUAUUGGACAAUGGGCGCAAGCCUGAUCCAGCCAUACCGCGUGGGUGAAGAGGGCCUUCGGGUUGUAAAGCCCUUUUGUUGGGAAAGAAAAGCAGCAGGUUAAUACCCCGCUGUUCUGACGGUACCCAAAGAAUAAGCACCGGCUAACUUCGUG
rnacentral:rRNA from 1 species